rnacentral:misc_RNA from 1 species
CUCAAAAAACUGUCAUUAGACCCCCAUCUAGUCUUAUUAAGAAAGUGUCGCAGUGAUGUUUCUUACCGUGUGUGUGUAUUUAUUUUGUAGCUGAAAUCCUACAGUUAAGGGGUCUUUGAUUCUUUGUCUUCAUGCAUUUCUGUAGACAAGUCUGAUACCUCAAAUUGAUGUGUGUAAAAAAAUAUUUAUACAUGAGACAGCCAUAGGUGCUUUAUACAGCAUUGGUUAGAAAUGGAAGAUAUCAAGGCUAUGCAGAGAUUUUGUAUUGUAACACUUUGCAGAUACAACAGCUGUUAUUUAUUACAUGUAGUAGAUACAAGCAAUUUACCAUAAUUAAACUAUGUACAUGUACUUAUACUAUGCAUUUAUGAAACAUCUAUAAACACAGGUCUUGAUGUUCUGAAAAAAAUGGUGCUCAUGUACUUUAACUGUGUGUACAGUGUUAAUGUACAAGCUCCUAUACAAGUGCAUUUGUUUUUGUUGAUCAUUUUGUUUUGUAGAUAAAUUGGAAAUUACAAAGCCGUCCAACAUUUAGAAUAGUUACAGUUUGAUAAUAGAUUGAUAAUAAGUGUGAAAUGUAGCAGAUUUUGAUUCAAAUGGUUGUAUAAUCUUAUAUAAUUUUACUUUAUUUUAUUGAUGCAAAAGUUUGAUUCUUUUUUUUCACAUGUUUCUUUAAACAAAUUGCCAUAUAAAUGAAUAUUUAAUUUUGUAAUUGUGCAUGAAAUUAUAGUAGAUUAUUUGGUUCAACAAACUGCAUGUAUCUCCAAUGAAGUUAUUGUUAGAAGAACCUUACUAAAUGUUUGUAUGACAAUUAUGUAUAUUUAUGAUGACAUUCAGUUACAUGUAUGACAUACAUCAUUAUUCAUUUCUUCACCAACAGGUUAAUCAUCAUAUCAGGCUGAAAGAAUUUAAAUUAUACAUACAUGCAAAUGGGUUUUUUGGGGGUAUGCUUAUGUUUUGUUUGUUGAAGACAUGUUUGAAAACCAAUUCACUUUCUUCUAUCUUUUAAUUCUCUGCUAUUCACCCUUUGAUCACAUACAAGUGCAAUGCAUUAUAUGUAUGCCCUUUGUUAUGGCCCCGUUUCAAACUUAAUUACAGAUAAAUGGCAUCUAAUUUUAUUAUGUACACUUUUAGACUUCUAAUUAUCAGACAAUUUUUAAUCCCAAUCAAAUGUACAGAUUGUUAAUCUACACAUAAUUGAAAUGAAAUGU